AGGCGGGGGUGAUAACACAUGCAGUCUAACGGGAAAGUCGGCUCCGGCUGGCUAGUACCGUGGCGAACGGGUGUUGUAACACGUGGGUAAUCUAACCUCGAGUUUGGGAUAACCUUGCGAAAGCGGGGCUAAUACCGAAUAAGACCACGCCCAGCCCGCUGGGUGCGGUAAAAGGUGGCCUCUUCCUGAAAGCUAUCACUUGAGGAUGAGCCCGCGGCCUAUUAGCUAGUUGGUAGGGUAGCGGCCUACCAAGGCGACGAUGGGUAGCCGGCCUGAGAGGGUGUACGGCCACACUGGCACUGAGAUACGGGCCAGACUCCUACGGGAGGCAGCAGUGGGGAAUUUUGCGCAAUGGGGGAAACCCUGACGCAGCAACGCCGCGUGAGUGAUGAAGGCCUUCGGGUCGUAAAGCUCUUUUAGUGGGGAAGAAUCCCUUCCGGGCUAAUAUCCUGGAAGGAUGACGGUACCCACAGAAAAAGUUCCGGCUAACUACGUGCCAGCAGCCGCGGUAAUACGUAGGGAGCAAGCGUUGUUCGGAAUUAUUGGGCGUAAAGAGCGCGUAGGCGGUUCGGUAAGUCUGACGUGAAAUCCCGGAGCUUAACUCCGGAACUGCGUUGGAUACUGCCGGGCUUGAGUGUGGGAGAGGAGAGUGGAAUUCCCAGUGUAGAGGUGAAAUUCGUAGAUAUUGGGAGGAACACCCGUGGCGAAGGCGGCUCUCUGGACCACAACUGACGCUGAGGCGCGAAAGCUAGGGUAGCAACGGGAUUAGAUACCCCGGGUAGUCCUAGCCGUAAACGAUGGGCACUAGUGUUGGAGGUAUCGACCCCCUCCAGUGCCGCAGCUAACGGCAAUUAAGGUUG
rnacentral:rRNA from 1 species